rnacentral:rRNA from 1 species
AUGAUGAACCGUCGGCAGUUUCUGAAUCUGGUUGUUUGGAGCUGGAGCGACCGCCUUUACUCGCUGCGCCGCAUCGACCCCUCCAAGAAUCUCUUCUACGAGUCAACACAGCAAGCUCAGAAAGCCGCCUCUGCAGAGAAAAGAAAGAAAUUUGACAAGACAUUUCGGAGCCUGCCUGACCCCAUCGCCAGCUUCGAUCCGUCCCCCACCGGCGUCGUCAACAGCGGCCUCGAGUGGUUCGAGCUGUUCGCCCCCCGCAGCAGCGAGAGCAGGAUCGUGAACUCCAAUAAGGCCGGCGAGAUAACCAUGUUCGACGCCGACAAGCGCCUCAUCCUCGCCUUGCCAAAUCUAUACCAGCCUAAGGGGCACGACGCGGUUGUUAUCUCGGUCACCCACCCUAGCGCCGACGAGGACUCCCUCUACAUCAUGGACAGGCACCCUGGCCGUGCCGUCACUCGACCUCGUUUACCUGCUGGUUCCGACCACCCUCGUUCCUGCUUCGAAGUCCUCGAGUACAAGCGCAGUAAUUUGACAGACAGCCAUAAGGGCUGGCAUUGGCGCCUUCUUCCACCGCCUCCGUUUGUCCACCUACCUGGGUUCCAGCCCUCCUCCCUUGUUACCUCCUACACCACCAUGGACACUGUAGACGGCUUCUCUUCCAUUUGCAUAUCAUCUGACAAGGGUUUCGGCACCUAUUGCUUUGAUACAGCAUGCCUUGACCCCAGCCAUUCUUUAGGAUGGCGAAACUUGGACGAAUGGAGGCACGUUGGGGACUGGGCUCUGCCGUUUGAAGGCAGAGCAGAGUUUGUCCGCGAGUUCGACAUAUGGUUGGGCUUCAAGGCCGCGACUCUACCCUGCAGGCUCAACCACCUGUGUGCUGUGGACCUCUCUGCCAUGGACCAUGGCCGAGAACCCAUUGUGCAGCACGUCUGGGAACAUCUUGCCCUGCCCGAGGAAAAGCAACCGGCGCGGCUGUGUCCUAUGCAUCAGAGGCUGGUGAACCUCGGGAGUGGCAGGUUUUGCAUCGCCAAGGUUUUUAAUGACCUUGAAGAUGGCACUUAUUUUGCUGUGCUCACUGGUGUAGAGUUGCUCCGAAACGAACAAGACCAGAGUCUCCAGAUUCUCAAGCACAAGUGUGUGCGUUACAUUUCCAAUACUGAAAGGAUAAGAUGGGUGCUUUGA